rnacentral:rRNA from 1 species
UACAGAGGGUGCAAACGUUGCUCGGAAUUAUUGGGCGUAAAGCGCGUGUAGGCGGCUUGUUAAGUUGGUCGUGAAAGCCCACAGCUCAACUGUGGAAGUGCAACCAAAACUGGCAAGCUUGAGUUCUGAAGAGGAUGGCGGAAUUCCCAGUGUAGAGGUGAAAUUCGUAGAUAUUGGGAGGAACAUCGGUGGCGAAGGCGGCCAUCUGGGAAGCGACUGACGCUGAGACGCGAAAGCGUGGGUAGCAAACAGG